rnacentral:rRNA from 1 species
CGUGGGCAACCUUUCCUAUCGCGGGGGAUAACAGCGGGAAACCGCUGCUAAUACCGCAUGUAGUCACCGGUCGCAUGGCCGGUGAAAAAAGCAGCAAUGCACGAUAGGGUGGGCCCGCGGCCUAUCAGCUAGUCGGUGGGGUAACGGCCUACCGAGGCGAUGACGGGUAGCUGGUCUGAGAGGACGACCAGCCACACGGGGACUGAGACACGGCCCCGACUCCUACGGGAGGCAGCAGUGAGGAAUCUUCCGCAAUGGGCGAAAGCCUGACGGAGCGACACCGCGUGUGGGAUGAAGUCUUUCGGGAUGUAAACCACUGUUGGAGGGGAAGACAUCGACGGUACCCUCCGAGAAAGCCCCGGCUAACUACGUGCCAGCAGCCGCGGUAAUACGUAGGGGGCGAGCGUUAUCCAGAUUCACUGGGCGUAAAGCGCGUGUAGGCGGCUGGUUAGGUGUGAUGUGAAAUCCUCGGGCUCAACCCGAGAACUGCAUUGCAAACCGGCCUGGCUAGAGUGCAGGAGAGGGAAGCGGAAUUCCAGGUGUAGCGGUGAAAUGCGUAGAUAUCUGGAGGAACACCAGUGGC